UGCUCGCAUUCAUGAACAGACUGUUCAGCUUGUUGUAUCUCUGGCUCCCCGAGCUGCUCAUCGUGUUCGAAGCUGACGAAUUGUGCUGGCCGUACCCACCGGAUCUCGGAAAACUAGGCACUUUGUCUGUCACGAAGGAAAUAAAUAAUUGGUCACCGGUGGAAAUGGACUUGCGGAGGAAAUGACAACUGCAGCACGUGCGAAUUGACGUUUGAGACUUAAUCGAACGGGACGACUUUUUGGAGACGACAAAAUCGGAGGGAAGAAAGCAGCGUGCUGACACGAUCGGAAAAGUUGGAACUACGAAAAAGACGAAACUGAAAGAUGGACAUGGGGAAAUUGAGUUUGAUUGAAACGGAUGGAACGUUGAGGUUCUUAUGAAAAAUCACCGGUCACGAAGUUAUGAAUCGAGAGGAUUUGAGGUGGCGGAGCCCACUGUACAAAGGCCGAGGUCAAAUUGAUCAUGCCAACGUGAACGUUUUCGGGUGAUCCGGAAGGAACGUCCUCGAGUGUCGUCGCCAGUUUUACGUUGCUCGGUCUUCCUUCUAUCGUUU